GAUGAAGAACGCAGCGAAAUGCGAUAAGUAAUGUGAAUUGCAGAAUUCAGUGAAUCAUCGAAUUUUUGAACGCACAUUGCGCCCGCCAGUAUUCUGGCGGGCAUGCCUGUUCGAGCGUCAUUACAACCCUCAGGCCCCCGGGCCUGGCGUUGGGGAUCGGCGGAGCCCCCCGUGGGCACACGCCGUCCCCCAAAUGCAGUGGCGGUCCCGCCGCAGCUUCCAUCGCGUAGUAGCUAACACCUCACGACUGGAGAGCGGCGCGGCCACGCCGUAAAACACCCAACUCUUCUGAAGUUGACCUCGAAUCAGGUAGGAAUACCCGCUGAACUUAAGCAUAUCAAUAAGCGGAGGA
rnacentral:misc_RNA from 1 species